UGGGGAAUCUUGCGCAAUGGACGAAAGUCUGACGCAGCGACGCCGCGUGGGUGAUGAAGGCCUUCGGGUUGUAAAGCCCUGUGGGGCGGGACGAAUAAGUAGAAGCUAAUACCUUCUAUGAUGACGGUACCGCCUUAGCAAGCACCGGCUAACUCUGUGCCAGCAGCCGCGGUAAGACAGAGGGUGCAAACGUUGUUCGGAAUUACUGGGCGUAAAGCGUGUGUAGGCGGCUAGGUAAGUCGGAUGUGAAAGCCCCAGGCUCAACCUGGGAAGUGCACUCGAUACUGCUUAGCUCGAGUACUGGAGAGGUUGGUGGAAUUCUCGGUGUAGAGGUGAAAUUCGUAGAUAUCGAGAGGAACACCGGUGGCGAAGGCGGCCAACUGGACAGAUACUGACGCUGAGACACGAAAGCGUGGGGAGCAAACA
rnacentral:rRNA from 1 species